rnacentral:lncRNA from 1 species
AAUUAAUUAAAAUUAUAAUUUUCGGUCACAUUAAGCAUAAUUAGGAAAAAUGAGAAAAUACGGACAUUUAAGCACAAUUCCCUGAUUAAUUCUAGCACAAUAAAGUAAGUGAAUUCGAGAAAAUAUUGACUCAUCACUCUUCCAACUUCCAAAUCUUCUAUGGUACAUGGAAUGGUAAAGCUUCCUUGAUUUUGAAGCUUGGGAGGCAACAUCUUUUGUAUGAUUGAACUGCAAUUUCCUUGUACUUCAAUGGUCUCCUUCUCAAUAUACUUUUUUUUCUUUGUGAGAAGCUCCUUCAAAAACUUUGCAUUAGAAGGCUUUUGUUGUAGUGCUUCAGAAAAAGGUAUGGUGAUCUCUAGUUUCCUAAAAUUCUACAUGAACCUCUCGAAUUGUUUUUCUUUCUCCUUCCUUGAAUAAAUCUUUGGAUAAGGAAGGGGCUUUUCAAACUCUUUCUCUUUUUUUCUCUAGUUAACCUCUUCUUUCUUUUUUUCUUCCUCAACCUUCUUCUUUUCUCUCUUCUCACUAUCUUCCUCCUCUCUUUUCUUUUUCCACCCACUCUCUUCUUCCUCACUCAACUUUUCUUUCUCUUUUUUCUCUAUCUUUCUCUGGUCUAAUACCUUACCACUUCUAGUAACAAUGGUCUUACAUUCUUCCCUUGAAUCACUUCUCACAUUCCUCUCACACCCCUUCACCUUACUAAUUAACUUUCCCAAUUGCGUUUCCAUUCUCUUAUAUGUAGCCUCUAUGCUUUUAACAUAAGACGCACUCCUAUCCAUGGUUUGUUGGAAAAGUUCUU